CUUUAAGAUCCCGAUAUCCACAGCGAGACGACCAAGAAAACUGCGCGGGAAACCGUACUAAAACCGACACAGGUAGGCGGGAUGAGUAUUCCAAGGCGCUCGAGAGAACGCUCGUGAAGGAACUCUGCAAAUUAACCCCGUAACUUCGGGAUAAGGGGUGCUCUCGUCCCGCAAGGGAAGGAGAGCCGCAGCGAAAAGGUUCUAGCGACUGUUUACUAAAAACACAGGUCUGUGCGAAGGCGUGAGCCGCGGUAUACAGACUGACGCCUGCCCGGUGCUGGUAAGUUAAGGGAGGAGGUUAGCCCGUAAGGGUGAAGCUGCGACCGAAGCUCCAGUAAACGGCGGCCGUAACUAUGACGGUCCUAAGGUAGCGAAAUUCCUUGUCGGGUAAGUUCCGACCUGCAUGAAUGGCGUAACGACUGGAACACUGUCUCCACGAGCGACUCGGUGAAAUUGUAGUUGUCGUGAAGAUGCGACAUACCCGCAGCUAGACGGAAAGACCCCGUGAACCUUAACUGCAGCUUGGUAUUGGGUUUAGGCCCGGCAUGCGUAGCGUAGGUGGGAGACUGUGAACCCUCGCUCUCGGGCGAGGGGGAGUCGUCGAUGAAACACCACCCUUGCCGUGCUUGAAUUCUCACCCGGACUCGUGAAUCCGAGCCGGGGACCGUGCGAAGUGGGCAGUUUGAUUGGGGCGAUCUCCUCCCAAACGGUAACGGAGGAGUCCAAAGGUACCCUCAGCCCGGUCGGCAAUCGGGCACUGAGCGUAAAAGUAGAAGGGUGCUUGACUGCGAGCCCGAUGGGGCGAGCAGGUGCGAAAGCAGGGUUUAGUGAUCCGGUGGUCCUGAAUGGAAGGGCCAUCGCUCAACAGAUAAAAGGUACUCCGGGGAUAACAGGCUUAUCUCCUCUGAGCGUUCAUAGCGGCGAGGAGGUUUGGCACCUCGAUGUCGGCUCAUCACAUCCUGGGGGUGGAGAAGCUCCCAAGGGUUCGGCUGUUCGCCGAUGAAAGUGGUACGUGAGCUGGGUUUAGACCGUCGUGAGACAGGUCGGUCCCUAUCUGCUGUGGGCGCAGGAGACUCGCGGGGCUUCCUCCCUAGUACGAGAGGACUGGGAGGGACGCACCUCUGGUGUGCCGGUUGUGACGCUCGUCGCAUCGCCGGGUAGCCACGUGCGGAACGGAUAAGCGCUGAAGGCAUAUAAGCGCGAAACUCCCCCCAAGAUCAGGUCUCCCUUCUUUUAGAUGAAGGCUCCCGGAAGACGACCGGGUCGAUAGGCCGGACAUGUACAUGUGGCGACACAUUGAGUGGACCGGUACUAACAGCCAACCGCUUGACCGC
rnacentral:rRNA from 1 species